AAAGUGGUCUCUCAUUUUUUGAAUUAGAUAAAUAAAUAAAAGAGAGACCAUCUAUUUACAAAAGUGGUCUCUCCUUUUUUUAAUUAAAUAAAUAAAUAAAAGAAAGACCAUCUAUUUACAAAAGUGGUCUCUCCUUUUUUUAGUUAAAUAAAAAAUCAUCGAUUUACAAAGUCAGGUUCCAAAAAAAAAAAUUAAAACUCUAAAAACUCGGCAAAGAGGAAAACCCAAACCCUAAUUUCAUUUCCUAAAAAAACCCAUACCCCCACCCCCUCUCUCCCCCCUCUCUCUCUCUCUCUACACCUCCGGCCGCAAAUUCCACCAAUAUCUUCAUCGGCGGUGCCGAAAUCACUCAUCCAAACCUAUUCAUCAGCAACGUCAUCACCUUAACGAAAUCACUCAUCCAAAGCUCGUCGACGCCGGAAUCCGACUCCGAUUAAGCGGCUACAGCUUCCUCGCUAUCGCAAUCCCUAACCAAAUGCUGAAGUUCGUCGAUCUCGAGUCUUUGCUGCCGUCGACGGUGCUUCUAGCGAAACUCUCACCAUCACAACUCCAGACGGUUGCUCGCGGCUUCACUCUCUCCCUCUCACAGUUGCUCCACCAGAGCAAGUAACGUCGUCGUUGUCACGCUGGGCCACCACCUGCUCUUCCCAUCAUUCCAUUAAAGGUUGCAGGUAUUUCCCUCGAUUUGUACAUAUUCUUCGGAAGACAUUGAUGAAAUGCCAGAUUUGUGGAUUAAAUAUGUUCUUUUUUGAAGAAGAUUCGUGAUAAAUGAGCUUAAUGAUGAAUGAGUUGAGCUUCAGUACGAGAUUAGCUUAGUGUUAAUCAUUAUACUUGUGAAUUUAGCUCCACUUUUGAAACUUUUUUUUUUUUAAGGAAAAGCUCUACUUUUGAAUAUUAGAAUUAAUGUAAAUUUUGGGUUAUGUUGGAGAGAAUUAGUUUUUGUAUUAAAGCUUUUAUAUUUAUAUA